ACCGCACAAGCGGUGGAUGAUGUGGAUUAAUUCGAUGCAACGCGAAAACCUUACUACCCUUGACAUGUCCGGAAUCCCGAAGAGAUUUGGGAGUGCUCGCAAGAGAACCGGAACACAGGUGCUGCAUGGCUGUCGUCAGCUCGUGUCGUGAGAUGUUGGGUUAGGUCCCGCAACGAGCGCAACCCUUGUCAUUAGUUGCCAUCAUUUGGUUGGGCACUCUAAUGAGACUGCCGGUGACAAACCGGAGGAAGGUGGGGAUGACGUCAAGUCCUCAUGGCCCUUAUGGGUAGGGCUUCACACGUCAUACAAUGGUCGGUACAGAGGGUUGCCAACCCGCGAGGGGGAGCUAAUCCCACAAAGCCGAUCGUAGUCCGGAUCGCAGUCUGCAACUCGACUGCGUGAAGUCGGAAUCGCUAGUAAUCGCGGAUCAGCACGCCGCGGUGAAUACGUUCCCGGGCCUU
rnacentral:rRNA from 1 species